rnacentral:rRNA from 1 species
GAUGAACGCUGGCGGCGUGCUUAACACAUGCAAGUCGAACGAUGAAGACCAGCUUGCUGGGUGGAUUAGUGGCGAACGGGUGAGUAACACGUGAGUAACCUGCCCUUGACUCUGGGAUAAGCGCUGGAAACGGCGUCUAAUACCGGAUACGAGCUUCCACCGCAUGGUGAGUUGCUGGAAAGAAUUUCGGUCAAGGAUGGACUCGCGGCCUAUCAGGUAGUUGGUGAGGUAACGGCUCACCAAGCCGACGACGGGUAGCCGGCCUGAGAGGGUGACCGGCCACACUGGGACUGAGACACGGCCCAGACUCCUACGGGAGGCAGCAGUGGGGAAUAUUGCACAAUGGGCGCAAGCCUGAUGCAGCAACGCCGCGUGAGGGACGAAGGCCUUCGGGUCGUAAACCUCUUUUAGCAGGGAAGAAGCGAAAGUGGCGGUACCUGCAGAAAAAGCACCGGCUAACUACGUG